GGUUCUGUACUUUAUACAUAAUAGAAGACCUAUUUUGCAAGUAGAAAGAAGAUUUAUAUCUCAGAACUU
rnacentral:tRNA from 1 species